RUMGAACGAUGAACCGCUUUCGGGCGGGGAUUAGUGGCGAACGGGUGAGUAACACGUGGGCAAUCUGCCCUGCACUCUGGGACAAGCCCUGGAAACGGGGUCUAAUACCGGAUAUGACUGUCCAUCGCAUGGUGGAUGGUGUAAAGCUCCGGCGGUGCAGGAUGAGCCCGCGGCCUAUCAGCUUGUUGGUGAGGUAGUGGCUCACCAAGGCGACGACGGGUAGCCGGCCUGAGAGGGCGACCGGCCACACUGGGACUGAGACACGGCCCAGACUCCUACGGGAGGCAGCAGUGGGGAAUAUUGCACAAUGGGCGAAAGCCUGAUGCAGCGACGCCGCGUGAGGGAUGACGGCCUUCGGGUUGUAAACCUCUUUCAGCAGGGAAGAAGCGAAWKK
rnacentral:rRNA from 1 species